rnacentral:rRNA from 1 species
GCAAGUCGAGCGGUAACAGGGAUUUACUUCGGUAUAUCUGCUGACGAGUGGCGCACGGGUGAGUAACGCGUACGCAAUCUACCUUCAAGAGAGGGAUAGCCCCGGGAAACUGGGAUUAAUACCUCAUGUGAUUAGGAUAUGGCAUCGUAUUCUAAUUAAAGUUACAGCGCUUGAAGAUGAGCGUGCGUUCUAUUAGUUAGUUGGUGAGGUAACGGCUUACCAAGACGAUGAUAGAUAGGGGGCGUGAGAGCGUGACC